UCACCUACCCUACCACAUUUCUACCACUGUGGCCGAGCUGCGGUCUCUGAUUUCACCACCAACCGCAGCGAGGCGAGCCGCGGAGGCGCAAGCUCCGGCUCCAGCCUCCAGCACGCGGCGGUGCCUCUUCUUUCUGUCUUCCAGCCCGGCAGGAGAAGCUCUCGCUGCUAGCCUCCCUCCUACCGCUCCGUCACCACCACCACCAACAGGGAGGGAGUGCCCCAGGCUCCAGGCUCCAAGCUCCAGGCUCCAGGGGGCGAAAAGUGACGGAGCCUUCCAGUUCUUUAAGCCGGGUGAGAUAUUCCUGCACAUCCUCUGGUGACCCCAGAAUGAGGGGGACUCGCUGGUGAAUUGCCUCGGGCUUCACGUCCAGUACAGGCUGGGUCCCCGUGGUCGCCAAGCCUCCUGCCUGCUCAAUGAUGUAGGCCACGGGAUUGCAUUCAUACAGGAGCCGGAGCUGUGGAGGAACAGAGGCAGGACAAAUUCACCAAGAGCCUAGCAACAUGAAGAGAGAUGCCAGGAAGAAGAGAGAAGCCAGGAAACAAGCCAACCGCACAAUCCCCACAUCAGAGCAGGAGAAGAUGGGGGCCUGCUGGCAGAGCUGGGGCUUGGCUGUGGUCACUCUGAACCUGCUCUUUGGUGUUUUCAUGAGUGGUGGGAAGAAUAGGGACCAUAUGGAGCCCACACAGGAAGCUCUAGCAGUAACACAGCAAGCAGGAAGACAAUUCUAAGGAAGCAGCCCAUAGUCUUCUUUCUUUUCCUGUGCAUCUUCCACUGUCAGUGAGGCUCCUCAUUUAUGGUGAACCCAACUGUGUGUAUCUCCCAAGUUCUCACCCGCAGAUUAAUGUUUUCAGGAAGAUAGGCCAUCAACAGUGAGAGGAAGAAGUUACAUUGUCGUAUGAGGGAUGCAUUUUAACCAUUAAUUUGUGGUACAGGCUGGGCGCAGUGGCUUAUGCAUGUAAUCCCAGCACUUUGGGAGGCCGAGGUGGGUGGAUCACGAGGUCAGGAGAUCGAGACCAUCCUGGCUAACAUGGUGAAACCCCGUCUUUACUAAAUAUACAAAAAAUUGGCCGGGCGUGGUGGUGGGCACCUGUAGUCCCAGCUACUCGGGGGGCUGAGGCAGGAGAAUGGUGUGAACCCGGGAGGCAGAGCUUGCAGUGAGCCGAGAUCGCGCCACUGCACUCCAGCCUGGAUGACAGAGCAAGACUCCAUCUCAAAAAAAAAAAAAAUGUGUGGUACAGUUAUUUUGUUUAUGUUAGUGAUUCAAUCAUAGAAACUAUUCAGUUUCUGGUAUCCCACUCUUACCUGGAGAAAAGAGGAAGCCGCUUUCAUCAGACACUGUGUUCACCCAGCGUAAGGAAAAAGUUGGUAAAAUCUAAAGGAAUCCUCAGACAUAUUAAUAAAAGUGUGCCCAGUCCCUCUCCACAACCCAUGUAGCCACUGUGGUCAGUACCUGCAGGGCAUCUCUCAAAUACCCCUAUGUCUAGUUCUGGUGAUAUCAGUCACUAAAAAUGGGAUCAGCUUGUGGCAGAUACCACCUUAAAUGCUCAUGUCUGUCUCAGUCACUAGGAGGAAAACCAGAGCCUGGAAACCAGAUCCAUUUUGAUGAAUGUCCAAGAUUUUGAGAGUGAAAAACUCCAAAAUGACAGCUCACAGUUGGCAGCUAGGCCAGAAGGUUCCCAAGGAACAUCAGAGGUAUUCCCGGAAUAUAAAGAGGCAAGGCCACAGAAUGACUCCACAUAGCAGAGGUGUUGCUACGAGAGGUGACACUGUCCCUGUCAGAAACAAGUCAGUGCCAAGGAGACUCAAUAACAAAAACAACUAAACAAUCCUUUCCUGCCUAACAUGAGUGACAACUGCUUCUAUAUCAGUGACUUCAAUCUCUCUGCCUCCUAGAUAAAAAUGAUUAAGGUAACUAGUCAUUAAUUGCACCCACUUCCAGACAAUAUCCAAUCCAGACUGACCCUCUCUUCCUCAAAUCCUCUUUAGAAUUACCAAGCAAAACCCCAAGUCCUAUAAGCCCAUCUCAACUCCCUCCUUAUGCAACACCCCAUGGUUCCUCUGCAGUGCCUGCUAAAUCUAACUUCGGGUUAUUACAGGUGCACGAGUGAUGGUCUUUGACUCAUGACCUUUAACUUGCUGUGGGUGUCUGUUGCUUUGGAGCAGCCCAGCGCUGAUUUCUACUUCUGAAAAGUGCCCUGACUUGCUUUGAAUUGGAUGCCAGUCUAGGAAGACUCAUAUCUGGGCCUCUUGUAGGCCAAGGUCAGGCAUGUACCUUAGCUUGAAAAUGAGAUACGCCUCCCUAGGAUUUGAAACCUGAGUGAGAGGCGCAGCACUGGGGGUGGUGUCCAGGCCAGACCGGCCAUGUUGCGAGACCACUGCCGUGCUUCCUGCUUCCUGGUCCUCUAGUCCUGCCCGUUCCUAGCCAGGGUCCUCAGCUUUCCCAUCAAUGCAGUAACUCCUUUCACUUAAUUGAGCCGGGGUCAAUUUUGCUGUUGCUUUCCAGCAAAGAGGAUGGAGAUGCACAACUGUCAUCUGAACAGUGGCACUCACUCACCACCUGAACAGAGGCGCUCAUUCUGCAUCAGGGCGGGUGAAAACGCCUUACGUUGAUCCACUCCUGGGGCUGGGGCCGGGACACUCAGGCCCUGGGAAUAUUGUUUCCACAGUUUUAUUAACCUGGAAAAUGUGUUCCUUUGUUCUGAUUGUGUGGUCACCAACAACGGCUGAUUUUUAAUAUGGGCUCUCAUACACCCUGUUACCGAUUAUCAGACACCAGAUCCUGGUCACAAGAAACAACAGCUCCCAUUUGUAAAUGAAUGCCUUGACAUUGAGCUUUACCCACAAUGGAGAGUUGGUUAACAGGAGGUGGUCUCUCUGUGCCUGAACAAUAUGUGUGUUCUGACAAAAUCAAAUCACCAGCCCUGCAAUCCCACAGACCUCACAGGCUCAGUUUGACCCACCAGGGAAUGCUGCCUCCAUAAGCUACUGGCCGCCUUCCAUGGCAUUUCUAUCUGUGACAACUGCCACAAGCUACCUCCGCUGGAUGUCAAACAGGCACUAAGCUUUGUGCACUGGGUCUUUGCUCAAAUGUCCUUUUUAGUAGGGAGAUGUGAUCCAAAGGGGUUUCAGGCUAAUACAUAGAGAUCCGGAAAGAUGCUAUGGUUCAUCUCUUCCUUCUGUCAUGUUGACAAGCUCUGGUGCCCACCUAUGUCCAGACUGGGCCCUGCUUUCAUGACUGAGGGCAGAAAACAGAGGCUCUGUCUGUGCCUGGGAAUCUUUGAAUUGGGUCCCUGAGUCAAAGCAUCUCCCAUCACCUUUAGAACUGCUCAGAAUGUUCAUGGAGAUAUUUUGCUUGUACUCAAGAGCAGUUGUGUUGGAAAUUUAGUGUGGUAGAGUAAUUAAAGCACAGACUGCUGGAGCAUGACUCCUGACACCAGUCACUAGCUUGACCUUGCGCAAGUUACUCACUCUCUCUACGCCUCACUUUCCCCAUCUGAAAAUGGGAAUAAUUGUAGGACAUAUCUCAUAGGGCCACUGUGACAUUUAAAUGCAUUAAUAGAUGUAAAUUUCAUAGGACAGGUACUUUACAUUCCUACCACUUACGAAGAAUUAUCUAACUCUUAGCUGUUAUUCUACAACAACUUUAGAAAGGGUGUUUUAUUGUCUGAGGGUAAUAUUUGCAAGCCAUAGAAUUUCUCAGGGUUUGCCAGCUUCUUUGAACAUAAAGGGAAAUUGGGGCAUUAGCAAACUGACACAGCAAUGGGUCUUGGUCUAAUGGGCAUACAGGUGAAAAGAUUCUAUUUGAAAAGUUUCUGGGUUUCCAUACUGUAAACUCUGUUUUGUAAGUUAACUCCAUGUCAUUUUGAAAUUUUGCAAACCCCUCUCUCCACACAUGUGCACUAACACGUGAACUCCACAAGGGCUGUCAUGUGUGUUUGAUCAAUGCUCCAUCUCCGCUGUCUGGAGUGGUGCUUUGGGACACAGUAGAUGCUCAAUAAACAGCUGUAAAUCAAAAACUUAAAUACUUAACCUUUUGGUCUAAGUGAACAAGAGGUUUUGACGUGUUCUUUGGUGGAUAUUAUCUGAGUUUUCACAAGACCUCAGUAUACUUGGCAAAGCAUUUCACAAUUGAUGGGCAAGCCAUCCAGCAUUUAAAAGUGAAAUUCAUGGAGCAUUCUACUGGAUGGUGCUGCUCUAACGAACCCAUGCUUCUGCUGGAAAUUUGCAGCAUUGUGAUUCUUAAAUCAUGGCAUUCUCAUAAGCCAAAGAGAUUGAGUGCAUUUUUGGAAAAUGAGCUCCUUAAGGAGAGGGCCUGAGUUGAUGCAACUGGCUCUGCAGGACACUCCUCCCCCCGAGUGCCCUCACUGGGACAGAGGCCCUUCAUGGUUUCUGAUGAUGGUUUUGGCUCCCCAAACUAGGCUCUCAGGACCCCUGGUCCCCAAAACAAGUAUUAGGAAUAACCAGGACAUUAUCGCAGAGAACUGGCAUUAAGGCACAGAGGCCCAUGGAGUCCCCAGGCACAGAUGAUGCCAUAUUCUGUACCUACCGGGUCAAGCAUGAAGAGGUCCACGCCUUGCCCUGUGGAGAGAGCCACCAGGGUUGCACUACCGUACAGCGCAUAACCUGCGGCCACAAUAUUGCGGCCACACUGCAGGGCAUCCUUUUCAGAAGGCUCAUCCUCUGAGGUCUGUGGAAGAGAGGGAUAAAUGCCAUGUGUUAUUGUUGUCUCUGGAGAGAACACUUUGCCAGGGGCCUGGGCUUCAGAUCUCCUCGAAUCACUGAAGGAAGCGCGGUUCUUUGAAUUUUAAGCUGCUGCAAAUCCAUCCAGAGGAAACGAGUGGCCAUGUUGCCAACAGUUCUAGCUGAGCCAUGGCAAAGGCCAUUCUUGGACUUCUUCCUUCCUGUUUUCCAAACGCAUGUGUCUGUAGCCUGACAAGAAAAGCACUCCCAGAUGCUAAAACCGUAGCCCCUCUUCAUCAUAAGCCAUGUUCCCAAGCCACGAUACUCACAACUCAGAUCACUGAGCUGAGCGUGCAGUGUCUCACUCUGCACACUCAACAGCCCUUUGGGGCAGAUAGCACCAUCACCUCCAUGGCUCAGAGGGAGAACUCUGAGAGCAAAACCACCUAAGAUUAACAACCUACUGCAGCUGGAGCGGCUGCACAACUCGCCCAGCAGCAGGAAGCCCUGAUUCUGCCUUUCUCUCUGACUCUGUGGAUGCUCCUUCUCACUUGCCUCUCUUCCCGGCAGCACCUCUUCCUCUGAUUCCUUAAAUGUUGGUGCUCCUUCUGGUCCUUCUGUGGCCCUUGGUACAUCCAACCGGUGCAAAAUGAUUCUUCCUCACCCCCUUAUCCAAAAUGGGGACUCUUAGCUGCUACAUUUGUAUUGAGUUACCCCGUCUCCCACGACACACACACACGCACACUUAUUUGAUGGGGUCAAGGAUAGAUUCAUAGAUUAGUGAUUCAAACUGGCCCAAUGUGAGUCUCUCCUCCAGAAACCUAGAACUGGAGUACAGCAUUGUUGUGAUGUACGUAGAAGCUUUGUAAACCCGAAUGUUCUUGCCUCCAUGUUCUGACCUCAUGGUCUGGUCUUCCAGCGCUUGACGCCAUGAGCACUCAGAGCUGCUUCUCUGAAGCUCCCAACACAUUUUCAUUCACGGGCUUAGUGUCUGACUUCCCAGCUAGACUGUGAGCAACUUGGUGGCAAGUACCAACUCCGUCUUGUUCCUGUCUGUUUACCCAUCACCUAGCACAAUCCAGUCCACAGAUAUUGCAUUUAAUUCACACACACACACAACACACACAUGAGUUUACACACACACAUAUAUACAUGCAUACAUGCAGUGAUUUUCAGCAUAAGAAUCCUAUACACAUUUUUUGGAUUUAUACUGUUCCAUUUUUUGUGUGAUUGUAAAUAGCACAUAUUUUAAAAUGUAAUUAUAAUUACGAAUUAGUUUAUUGCUAAUAUAUAGAAAUCUAGUUGAUUUUGUAUCUUGAUCUUGUAUCCUGUGACCUUGCUAAACUCACUAGUUCUAGAAGUGUUUUGGUUUUCUGUUUGUAGGUUCCUUGGGAUUUUCUACAUAGACCAUCAUGUCGUCUGCAAGAACAGUGUUAUUACCUGCUUUCCAAUCUGUAUGUGUUUCAUCAUCUUCCUUGCCUUAUUGUGCUGGCUACAACUUUCAGGAUUACAUAUGUUGGGUAACAGUGGCGAGUGAGGACAUCCUUGCUUUGUUACUGAUCUUAGAGUAUAAGCAUUCAGUCUUUCACCAUUAAAUGUAAUGCUAGCUGUAGAUGUACUUGAUAGAGUUAAGGGACGCUCCUCCUCUAUUUCUUGUUUUCUAAGACUUUCUGUUUUUUCAGAGACAGGGUCUUGCUCUGUUGCCCAGGGUGGAGUGCAGUGGCUUGGUCAUGGCUCACUGCAGCCUCCAACUCCUGGGCUUAAGUCAUCCUCCCAUCUCAACUUCUUGAGUAGCUGGGACUACGGGUAUGCACUACCACCCCCCUCUCCAGCUAAUGUCUUUUUUGAGAUGGGGGUCUUGCUAUGUUGCCCAGGCUGGUCUCAAACUCCUGGCCUCAAGCAAUCCUCCUACCUCAGCAAGUUUCUUUUUUAAAUAAUGAAUGAGUGUUGAAUUUGUUCAAAUGUUUUUUCUCCAUCAAUAGAUACGAUUAUGUGAUUUUUCUUCUUUAGCCUGUUGAUAUGGUGGAUUACACUGACUGAUUAUGAAUACUGGAUCAGUCUUCCAUCACCAGAAUAAACCCCACUCAGCCAUGGUGUAUAAUUUAUUUUAUGUAUUGUUGAAUUCUAUUUGCCAAUAUUUUGUUAAGAGUUUUUGCAUUUAUUGAUAAGGAAUAUUGGUCUGUGGUAUUUUUUUGAACAAUCUUUGUCUGGUUUUUGUAUCAGGAUAACACUGGUUUCAUAAAAUGAAUUGGGAAGUGUUCCUUCCUAUUAUCUUUUCUGGAAGAGACUGAAUAAUCUGUGAAUAUUUGUUAUGUUUUUCCAGUAAACCAUCUGAGCCUGGAGAUUUCUUUUCUUGGGCAUGAGUUUCUUAAUAGUAUUGAGCCCUGUAGAUAGCCAUUCAAAGUAUCUAUUUUAUAUUGGGUGAGUUAGAGUAUUGUAGUUUUUGAGACAUUGGUUCGUUUCAUCUAAGUUGUCAAAUGUAUGCAUGUGGAGUUGUUUCUAAUAUUCUCUUUUUAUCCUUUUGAAAAACAAGGCAACCUGAGAUUAACAAUCUACUGCAUAAAUACACAAUUCUCUGAUCAUUUUCCCAAGAUAAAUUCCCAAUAAUUAAAUAAUUGGGUAAAAAUCUUUUGAUACAUAUUGAAAAAUUGUCCUCCAGAAAGAGUGCAUCAAUUUAUACUUUUACCACUAAUAAUAAGAGAGUUCAUUUUAAUUCAGCCUGGUAAACACAAGAUAGCAUUGUCUUUUCAACUUUGUCAAUUUGACAGGUGGACAAAAUGACAUCUCUUUUGUUUUAACUUCUAUUUUUUAUGAGUCAGGUAAAACCUUUUAUAUGUUUAUUUUGACCAUUUUUAUUUUGUAAGUUGUCUCUUUCAUGUCUUGCUUAUUUUUCUAUCAGGAUAUUCAACUUCUUGUUUAUUUUAAUAGCUCUUUAUAUAUAAAGGAUAUUAAUGUCUUGUAUAUGUCACAAAUAUUUUCCUCGAUUGUCAUUGCCUUCUUAUUUAUGGUGCCUGUUUUUGCAGUGCAGUUUUAAAAUUAAAAUUAUUCAUGACAUUCCAUAUGUUUUCUUCUCUUGUCUUUAUGUUUAGACUGAAUUUCUCCUACAUCAAGACAGGGUGACACAAAUAUUCUUGUCUUUUCUUUCUGGUUUUAUUCCCCACCUCUCUACCAAACUCAUCAACUCAUCUGUAAUUUAUUUCUAUGCAUGGAAAAAAAAGAAUGGUUCAGUUUUUGUAUUUGUCUAACACGGUCCUGAGAUUUCAAAAACCCAGUUUAUAUCAGCAAUCUUCAUUGCCAUGACACCUUUCUCAGUAAAUUUUAUAGUAGUUUGCAAAUGAUUUAGUGCGUCUUUUUAUUUUUUUCUACACCAAUAAAUAUCUGAGCCCAUCAGAUAAGUGGUGCUUCCUACCACUACUUUUUGGUAAAAUUAAUGAAAAUUGCAAGAGCUCCAUGUAUUUGGUGGUAGAAAUUAUGAAAUGUGGACUUUUUUCCUUUUUGUUGAGGUAUAAAGCAUAUAGCAGAGCAUACAAAUCUUAAUGGUACAUCUUGAUAAAUUUUUACAAAUAUAUAAUAUACACUUAUGUGUAUUUAUAGAAUAUUUUACAUAACAUCCAGAUCCAUUUAUAUAACAUUUCCAGCAACCUAGUGGACUUUAAGCCUAGUGAAGCCAGGCCUAGUAGUCUCUUCCAGUCACUAUCACCUCCUGCCAAAGGUAACCUCUAUUCUCACCUUUAUCACCAAAUCUAACUUUAUCUGGUUUGGAACAUCAUCUAAAUGAAAUGACACUGCAUAUGUUCUUUUGUAUGGCUUAUGAUUUUCAAGUUUAUUUCUUUGCAAUUUUACCUAUGUUGUUAUACAUAGCAGUUUGUUCUUUUUCAUUGCUAUGUAGUUUUCUGUUGUAUGACUAUAUCACAAUUUAUUUCUCCAUUCUCAUGUUGAUAUGCAUUUGGAUUUUUCUGGUUUGGGGCUACUAUGACUAAUUUCUCCAUCUUUGGGCAGACACAGAAUUCCUUUCUUCUGUGUGGGUCCCAGGAGUGAAAUUGCUUGGCCAUAGUGUGUAAAUAUCUGUUUAGCAUUAGUAGGUCCUAUCAAAUGUUUUCCAAAGUAGUUAUACUAUUUGAUAGUCCCACCAAUGAGGUAUAAGAAUUCCAGUUUCUUUGCCAACACUUGGUAUGCUUAGUCUUUUUAGAUUUAGCCACUCUGGAAGAGGAGAAUGGUGUCUCACUGUGGUUUUAAUUUCCAUCUUCCUAACGUAACUGGGCAGCUUAACUUCAUAAUAUAUUUUAAAACAUUUUUCCCUUCUCUUGGGUUUCAAGAUAUAACCUUGAAGCAAACUGCAGAAGUCUUUUCUCUUAGCUAUAAAAUAGCUCCCUUUCUCACCAUAUAUACUCCCUGCACAUUUAGCUAACUGCAUGCUAGUAUCUAUUAUGUGCCUUCUUAGAAGUUCCAGGAGGUAAUCUUGAGACGGACAGACCAAGCAUGGAGACCUAGCUGCAAAAUUCCAGAGAUUACUUCCAUGCAGCUAAUUAACAACUCGGCCACUGUUGAGAUGAUGUCAGCCUGAGGUCCAGGUGGACUGGCACCAAAGAUAAUCAUAAAAACAAGACCCAGAGAUACUGUACUCAGCACAAUUCUCUUGCAUGCCCUCCUUAAUCAAGUUUUCCUCUUUUAAACCCCUCCCUUCCCCCGAAAUAGUCAAAGUGGUUGCUUUGAUGGGAAUCUGGCCACUUCCCCUUUACUAGUUGUGGUUAAUAAAGUCACUUUCUAUCUACCAGGCCUCACUCUUGUUAACUGGACUCUGCAGGCAGUGAGCAUGUGGACCUGCAUUCAGUUACAAUUUUAGUGGCCCAUACAGUGUGCUCUGGGGGCCCAAGCCCAUGGUCUGGUUUCUAUUGGACAGGGCCUGUGGGGCUGCCUGUAGGCUCCAGUUGCUUGUGGCUACCUGACCCCUUGGCUGGAAUGCUAGGGAGUCUCCUGCAGCUGCCUAGAUGCUUUUGUCUUGGGGAUCCUCUCUUUCUCUUCCUGCUGCAGUGCCUGCUACCUCCAAUAUUUCACUGGUGCACUGAAAGUGACUUUUAGAGAAGUGACAAACUUUGGAAUUUUGGAACUUUGAAACUUCGGAACUUGGGGUUCAGCCUUGAAGGAGAAAAACAGUUUCCAACAUCAUGGCCUCUGAUUUUGUCAUCUUCUCUGGGACUGGUUACAUAUUCUGGCCCAUUUUUGUGCACAUUUUAAACUGAUGGGCAAAUUACAACAAGAAAAAUUCAGAGUUCAAAUGGUUAACCUACACUGUGGAGUUAAGUAGAAUCUUCUUUAGCUCUCUACCUUCCUCUCUUUUCUGCCUGCUUUAAAUCUGCUGUUAUUAAACUGCUGGCGCGAGACAAGACUCAUUAUUUAUGGUCUAAAUUGAAUAUAAACAUUGAAAACUCAUUUGAAACUGAACAGCAAAAAGGGGAAAAGAUUUAAAAAGAAAAAAACCCAAACUGCCAUAGAGACUGCUUUACCCCAAAUUUUGGCUGCCAGCUUUCCUUGGAUUACCUAUCAGGGCAAACAAAGUUAGCCACGUGGACAGCUUCCAGUUUUGUCAGAAAAACAACUUGAAGCCAGCUUUUAUAGGUCAGUGAGUUUGUGAUGCUAUCUCAUGAUUAGAGUUCUCAGAUAAAAGCUCUUAGACCUUUGUUUGUGUAUGGAUGUAUACAUGUUUAGAUAUGUUUAUGUAAUGUACAUGUUAUAGUUAUGUUCUGUCGUGUCUAGCAUGCUACCAAAUUGGCUUUAUAAGUAAGUGAGUACACAUAAAUUAAGUUCAAAUGCUUUCCAAGUUCGCAUGAAUCUUUGAUAAAUAAAACUGGCUUCAAAAAUUAUUAGUAAAAUAAAAACAAAAAUGCCUUCAGAAUCAUCAGCAUACAUUUGUGUCUAAGCAAAUAAAUUUUGUAUUUGUCUCUGCUAAAUGUUUAAAGUGUCAGGGUUUGGCGCAAAGAUUGUAAGAUUAUAACCCAGCCAAACACAGAGUAAUCUUUGUGUAAUUUUUUUGACAAAUAAGACUAAGUUAGGAUUGUUAGUUCAAUGAAAGCAACUGAAUCCUCUGAGCUAUUGGCAAAAUGACCAUGGAUUUAACUUUGAGGUUCUUACUUAGGUGUUCACCUAAUGUUCGGACUUUUAAAAUGGUUAACAGGGAAAUAACUUUAAAUAAUGACUAACUUUGUAUAAUAUCUGUUUUCAGAAAGAAUCUAGAUAAACUUAAAGAUUAAAAAAUUAAAUACACAUAAAUGAAAUAUGUUUUUUAAGUGAAUUUUUUCUGUAAUUUAAAAUCUUAAAAUUAUUUUAAAUUAAAUAAUAAAUGCUUAUUGGAUGUCUGGUUUACUUCUAAUUUUUUAAAAAUUAUAAUAAAUUAUGG
rnacentral:lncRNA from 1 species